rnacentral:rRNA from 1 species
CCUACGGGAGGCAGCAGUGGGGAAUAUUGCACAAUGGGGGAAACCCUGAUGCAGCGACGCCGCGUGAGUGAAGAAGUAAUUCGUUACGUAAAGCUCUAUCAGCAGGGAAGAAAAUGACGGUACCUGAGUAAGAAUCCCCGGCUAAAUACGUGCCAGCAGCCGCGACAAUACGUAGGGGGCAAGCGUUAUCCGGAUUCACUGGGUGUAAAGGGAGCGUAGACGGUGCGCCAAGUCUGGAGUGAAAUGACGCAGCUUUACUGCGGAACUGCUUUGGAACCUGGCGUACUAGAGUGCGGGUGGGGUAGGCGGAAUUAGUAAAGGAGCGGUGAAAUGCGUAGAUAUAAGGAAGAACACCGAUAGCGAAGGCAGCUUACUAGACCGUAACUGACGUUGAGGCUCGAGAGCGUGGGGAGCAAACAGGAUUAGAUACCCGUGUAGUC